CUUCCCGUCCCGGGGAUGGAAACCACAUCUCUUGCAUCUCCUGCAUUGGCAAGCAUAUUCUUUACCACUGCGCCAUUUGGAAAGCUCAAAUUUACUUCAAUUAAAAAAAAAAGCUAGGGCUACUAUGUUUUGCUGCUGAAAUAACCAGCAGUUAUUUUCUGAUCUUCCACCAGUACCUCUCUGGGCUUUCUCACCCUGCUAAAACUAAACUUGUCUUUCUUCUAAUGUUAAUAUUCAAGGUAAAUAAUAUUCACUUUCACUUCUGAUUACCCUUUUGCUUAAUUGGUAAUAUUGGAUGAGUACUGAAUAGUACUAUUUUCUACCAGUUUUCAAUGAAACAUGGAGUCAUUCUGGCACAUUACAAAUCAAAUGAACUUUUGUAUGAUCACCGAAUGUUAACUGGCUUCUGAGGGAAAUUGUAUUCUAAAUUCCAGACAACUGGUUUGCAAACCUUGCUUUAGAAUGCAACCUAUGUCUAGGUUGAGGUCUUUUUAUGUAGCAUAUUUGUGUAUAAUCAGAAUACCAGAACUGCUGUUUUAAUGGACGAUUAUCUUCUACUGCAUUCAUGGAUGAUCUUUGAAAGAAUCAGAAUAUGUGACACGUCCUUAAUGCAAACUUUAUAAGCACAAUAUUUUCUUUUAUAUUCCGUUUCAUAUCUUCUCCAUUAACCCAUAUUAGAAACAGUAAUCUUUGCCUGCUCCCUCCUCAUAUUUAUCUCUUUCAUUUAUUUGAUCAUUCAUUCACUGCAUCAUUCAACAAAUACUGAGCAUCUACAUGUGCCAGGCAGGAGGCAAGGUCCUGGAGAAAGUUCAAACAGUCUCCACCCUCAGGGAGAGUGUGGGUAUUGGGGACACACACAUGCCAGCAAUUAGAAUACAAUACAGUAAUCAAUAUAAAGAGUCUGUAUUGAUACAAAGAGUAGUGGAAGCUGAGAUGAAACACCUGGGUCUGCUUGAAGACGUCAGGAAGGCAUCAGAGGAGCUGGCUUUUGACCUGGCACUUAAGCAGUUGGCCUGCCUGACAAAGAGGUCAAAGGAGUUCCUAGGGUAGAACGGACCAUUGUGGGUGGAGCUUCGGAUGCAAAAGAGACAAUCCAGGUGGGGGUAAGCCUGAGUUGGUGAGCAGAGAACCAACCAAGGGCUUUUCCUGCCUUUCAGAAAAGUUCAUAUUUUACUUGGGAAGCAUGGGAACCAUUGAAAACUUUUGAGCAGGAGAAUGAAGCAUCAGAUUUGAGGCAAUGAGGAGGCUGGUCUUGUUGGGCAUGACCCUAGAUCAGGGCUUCUUAUUCCAACCUUGGACUUGCAAGAGAUCCGUGGAUAGAAAGCUUGGGGUCUGUGAACUUGGAUAGGGGGAAAAAAAUAACUGUCACCAACCUCUAACUGAAAUUGAAUAUUUUUUUUCAAAUACAAAUCUGGGCACAGAUCACAGUAGAAUUAGCAAAAGAUGUGAGUUUAUCACCAACAGAAAUAAGGUAUUUUGAUACAAUAAUACAGUUGUUGCAGAUAUCUCAAAAUAUCCUUUGCACUUUUCACUGAACAAACACUACUGUAGCUGUUAGACCCGCAACCACAUCGUGUCAUUUAAUGAAUUAAUAAAGAACUAUGUAUAUUAUUGGGUUUCCCUGGUGGUUCAUACGGUAAAGAAUCUGCCUGCAAUGUAGGAGACCUAGGUUCGAUACCUGGGUAGGGAAGAUCCCCUGGAGAAAGGAAUGGCUACCCACUCCACUAUUCUUGCCUGGAGAAUUCCAUGGACAGAAGAGCCUAAUGGGCUACAGUCCAUGGGGUUGCAAAGAGUCGGACAGAACUUAAGCAUAAUUUAACAUACACAUUUUUAAUAGAAUUCAGCUUUUGUGAUUUGUGUUUAAUUUCAUAAUGUAAAUACAGUAUUCUGAGGUGGAGUCCACAGUCUUUGCUGGACUGCUGAAGGGAUCAGAAAAGGUUAGAACUCAUGCACCAGGGGACGGUGACUGUGGGGAGGUCAUUGCAGCCUCAGGCAGUGGUGAGGAGGCGGUGAAGGGGGAGAAUUUGUGGGAGAUUCUGGAGACAGAGUGAACUUUCUUUGAGACAUAGAGCAGAGGGACAGAUCUGCAUGUAUCCUGCAUUCCCCAUGAGGUUUCUGGCUAUAGCAGGAUGCUUCCUACUGCUUAUUACCUGCCACUUCCUUCCCACUACUAUGAUUUUGCAGCUCUUAUACUUUUACCAAAGUUCACAUGCAGCAUGGUUCAAAAAGCCAAGGAGUACGGAAAGACAGAAGGAAAAACAACCAUCCCUCGCUCCCCUCCUCUCCGCCUGCCAGCCUCACAACAUUUUGAACUCUUAGAGCGGUAUCUUCUCUAGCUUGAUGGCAAAUUCUGUGCUGGUAGUGCCUUUUAAUUCCCACUAUGUUUUUCAUUUUAGGUGUUGAAUAAAUGACUGAUAGAUUUCAAAGGCACUUUCUGUUUCAAGGUCACUGUGAACAUCAGGGAUACCAUACUCUAGUUACAGAAGUUAUACCAACAGUGACACUCUAGGAAAUGGUUCUUUCCCCUCAAUUCCCAGGUUUUCUGUCAUUUGUCUUCAUAUGAAAUAACACAGAAUGUGCAAAUAAAAAUUCCAUUUA